UGAACCCUCGGCGCCAGCGGUCCUCGUGGUCCUCUCGGCCUGGCCGCCAUGCACUCACACACCAACAUUUCCUAAGCACCCGAACUGCAUAACCCCUUUGGGCGUUCCAACGCGGCGCCCCCUA
ensembl:misc_RNA